UCAGAAACAUGUUAUGCUGUUCAACUGCUGUAUUUUUUAACCCCUAGUGUAUGGAGCUGAGAACCGGAUUUUUCUGUCCAGUUCUUUGUCACCUGCUGCCAGCCCUGCUGAUGUGGAAAUGGCAUCAUGACAAGGAUAUUAUGUUUCUCACGGAACACCAGAAUCUGCAGAUGAUUCUACUACUCUCCUUGGAAUCAUUAGAAGGUCAGCAGGACAGAUGGUUCGGCGCCGAGGUGGAAGCAGGCUAUGUUAUAUGUUCCUGAUUGAGAAUGGAUCAGGAAGGCCAAGUUUUGGAUGCACCUGCUCAACUGCUUCCUGUUGUUGGGAUUGCUGGAUAAAUUAUGGUGCAUGACUGCCAGAAAAUGCAGCCGAGGCAGCAGGAAGGACGGCUUGCACACAGAAGGUUCCUUCAAAGGUGGAGCCAAAAUGUGGCCGGCAGCCUGAUGCUUGCACUGGCCGAUCAAAGAUUUCUAGAUAGAAACGGUCCGUAUUUUUCGUCCGUUGUUUCAGUGGUUGAACGGAGCCUGCCAGUACUUUUUCGUGGAUGAUGCAAUGUGGUUCUCGGGACUCUGGGGAGGAUAGUGAUUUGGUGAACGGUCAAGGGAAAAGACAUGGUUCGUUUACCUGUUCCGAAUUCAACUAUUCAAUUCAAUGGUGUUUAGAACAAGUUAACUUUGAUAGCUCUACCCGGUAUCUGCAAUACCCAGGUACCUGUAGGCUAGCACAUGAAUUGUGUGCGACGAGAAUUAUGGCCAAGUCCAUUUCAUUUCUAAACCAAGUUUAAUUCGGUGGACAAAGCUUUGUCAGGCCAAAAAUGCUGAUCGUGCACG